CCUACGGGUGGCAGCAGUGGGGAAUAUUAGACAAUGGGGGCAACCCUGAUCCAGCCAUGCCGCGUGUGUGAAGAAGGCCCUCGGGUUGUAAAGCACUUUCAGUGAGGAAGAACGCCUGGUGGUUAAUACCCAUCAGGAAAGACAUCACUCACAGAAGAAGCACCGGCUAACUCCGUGCCAGCAGCCGCGGUAAUACGGAGGGUGCGAGCGUUAAUCGGAAUUACUGGGCGUAAAGCGCGCGUAGGUGGCUUGAUAAGCCGGUUGUGAAAGCCCCGGGCUCAACCUGGGAACGGCAUCCGGAACUGUCAAGCUAGAGUGCAGGAGAGGAAGGUAGAAUUCCCGGUGUAGCGGUGAAAUGCGUAGAGAUCGGGAGGAAUACCAGUGGCGAAGGCGGCCUUCUGGACUGACACUGACACUGAGGUGCGAAAGCGUGGGUAGCAAACAGGAUUAGAUACCCUAGUAGUC
rnacentral:rRNA from 1 species